AUGUACAUCAACAAUUACAUUACAUUCUGGCAUGAAGUAAUUGAGAUUUAUCAGCAUCCAUAUACAAUUCACAACAGGUACUUUAUCAGCAUCCACAUACAAUUCACAACAGGUACUUUAUCAGCAUCCACAUACAAUUCACAACAGGUACUUUAUCAGCAUCCACAUACAAUUCACAACUGGUACUUCACAGGCAUCCUCGUGAUCCAAAUGCUAAAGCCAAAAAAAGGACAAGAGAAUAAAACUCACGGAGCUAGCUAUGAUAGUUUAACCAUGGAUAACACAUCACCACUUCAUCUUAACAGCCAGCUUUCAGAACUCAGAACUGAUGCCACAGAUAGCUAA
rnacentral:rRNA from 1 species